rnacentral:rRNA from 1 species
UACGGGGGGCGCAAGCGUUGUUCGGAUUUACUGGGCGUAAAGGGCGCGUAGGCGGCCACCGCAAGUCAAUUGUGAAAUCUCCGGGCUUAACUCGGAAAGGUCAACUGAUACUGCGGGGCUAGAGUGCGGAAGGGGCAACUGGAAUUCUCGGUGUAGCGGUGAAAUGCGUAGAUAUCGAGAGGAACACCUGCGGCGAAGGCGGGUUGCUGGGCCGACACUGACGCUGAUGCGCGAAAGCCAGGGGAGCGAACGGG